GAUUCCUACCAUCUGAUAUGCUUUCGCAUAUACAUCUGGGACCUGCCCCCAACCGACGCUCUUCCAAAUGAACCAUUUUUUUCAAAACUCUUGCAUGUGAUUGGAUUAAGAAUCUGUCCGUCAUUUUGACUGACACGCCAUUUCAGCCACUCCCGUUGACUCAAUCCGUGACGUAGUUCACAGCGACACCACGCAGGAGGCAAGACUUUUCAUCACAACAAACAUGGCCGCGGCUGGAAGUAAACGGAGUAAACUUUCUAUAAACGAACAUUGCCCUAUGUGCAGGGGAUAUCUAAGGACAAAUGGUAAUAUCUGCAACCGCCCAUGGAUAUUUGAAGAACUUCCCUACGGGAAAGGGUAAACCAGCGCCCAGCUGAACUUGAUCGAAACUUGUGAAACUUCUCCGAAAAAUCCUGUCGCAUGCCUGAAAUGCCUGCUGUAAUUUAACCCAGCGUUCUCAAGGUACGUACGAUGCAGAAAUGCAAAGCAGGGCCAAACAUGCUGCAUUCAAUGGGUACGAAGACGGUGUGAGGAACAACAUAACAGCUCUCUUCCUGGUGGCAGCCAUGGAGCACCUAGGGGCUUCAUUAAGUGUCAGGUACCUCUGGAACAAAGAUUUACAUUACAACAAAUGUAUGACCCCAGUUAAAGCUGGUGCCAUGACAGUCUGUACAUAUUGGCUUUGUAAGAUUACAUCUAAGCUAACCAUACUGCACAUUUUGCAUUAUCUAUCUUUUUAAAUGUGUCAACAGAUAUCCCUGACGGCUUCCUACCUGACCACAUAACCAUGGGCUCUGAAGAGGGGAAAAAAAGGAACAGGCUACAUCCGGUAGUGGCCCGGGUGUUCAACAAAUGCCAUUUUCCACAUGCAGUCCAGGAGGGAGACGUAUAACUAUACUGUAGAUUUGAUAUUUUUACAAGGCCUUUAGCCACAGUGUGCCCACAGCGCACUGCUCGUAAUUCUGCAGGUAAAUUUCACUCUUUCGCAUCGCUUAGCCCACAGCACCUUAACAACUUGAAGUCAUCAAUCUGAAGUCAUUUUUAGAACAUAGUUGUCCCGGUCUCACUGAAACAAACAGCAGAUUGGACCAGCAUGUCUAUUGGACUCCUGCAGAAAAUCAUGGUGAACAGACAGACAAAUGCACACUGGAGCACAUUAUGUUGCUAGUCACACAGAGGAUAUUUUCAGAGAGGCUGAGUUGUUUUCACCCCCCCCAUCUAGUCAUGACAUUCUGAUAAAUCGCAAAAGCAGUAACCUGUGGCGCAGGAUCAAAGCUAAAUUGAAAGAGCGCCAAGACUAAUAUAAAAUUGGUGGAGUAAAUGCAUGUACUGUAAUAAUGUAUGUAAAUAAUUUGUGUAUGUAAGUAGUGUAUAUAAAAUAACCCAGUGCAACUUUUUUUUCCAUAAGAUUCUGUUGCCUUUCUGUGAAUGCAUAUAAAAAAGGUUAAGGUAUGUUGUGUCACUUGAAGUAAAUUAAACUGUGCUCAACACUAAA